rnacentral:ncRNA from 2 species
GAAAAUACUCUUUGUUUAGGCGUCUUAGGAUGAGAUAAUUCCUUUAGACUUAAUAGGGAAGAUUGGUGAAAAUCCAUCACGGUCCCGCCACUGUAAGGACACUUCUACAUUAAUAUGCAGCUUGCAGACGGCUUCAUUGCCGCUAAAGUGAUCCGAGUCAGAAAACCUGCCUACACAUCUUUAACCCC